CAGGAGGACAAGGCACAGCUGUAGGUGUAGAAGCAGCUCCACAGUGUCUCCUCAUAUCUCACUGGGUUAAGUCAACCUAUGCUAACAGCCAGCUGGGUGAACUUCAGGACCUGCAGCAGACCAUGAGGAGGAACUGAUGGAGAUAAGUUAAGGCAACACUUCCUUUUAAGUGCAAGCACCACAUGACCACUGUGCGAUGUGGAGGAGGGUACUGGAUGAUCCGUGGUUACAAUACUUCUGAGGCCUGGAGGUAUCUGAGAGAAACUCCAAACCCAAAGAAGAGAAGCUGAGAGCACCUGAUUCAACACUGAAGUUAUAUUUCAGAUUAAUACAAUUUAAUUCCUGCUCUGAGUGGACAUUUUGUUCGGGAACAUCCAGAGGUCCCCUCCAAAGGGGUUGAAUUACUGCUGCUUUCUCCUUCUCCUUGAUCAUUGUAGGAGCUGUCAUAAAAGAUAAAAGAACCUUUUAUCUCUGUUUAACAAUUGCCUCUCCAGCUGCUGCAGUAGAAAUUAUCAUUUCCUACAGCACCCCUAAAUUCUUCAAACACAGCUCAAUCGAUAUCGUAGUUAUUCAUCAGCUGUGGUUGCUGUCAGUGGUUGGCGCAUCUGUUGCCUGACUAAUAUCUAAUAUCUAGGUAAUCGAGAAGUUGACUUCAAGGAAGUAGACAGCUCACUUUGGUUAUGGACCGCCGUUUUGGAGGAUGGGAAAGAGAGGGCUUGCAGGUGUGUGAGCUGGACUUGAUGAGAUGCAGGAUUUUUAAGCCUACCCUGUAGUAAUUAAUAGGUGAUUAAAACAGAACUGUAAUGUGGUUUGGAUAAGUGGAAAAGGGCUAUGUUUGCUCCCUGCAGUCACAUCCUGAUCAGCAGCGGUGUUGCUAUUAAUGUUAUUGCCCAGGGAUUCACUGCAGAGCUGAGCCAAAUUAGCAGCUAGUGCCCAAUGGAAAGGACGGUAUCUCUUGUAUCUCUUGGCCAACACAAGGUACAUGCUUUCACGUUGCCUAGUGAGCAAAGACAGCAGAUGUUGUGGUUUAACCCAGCAAGCAGAUAAA